rnacentral:rRNA from 1 species
GACGUAGGGGGCCAGCGUUGUUCGGAAUUACUGGGUGUAAAGGGUUCGUAGGCGGUGUGGCAAGUCGGGAGUGAAAUCUCUGGGCUCAACCCAGAGACUGCUUCCGAAACUGCUGUGCUUGAGUGUGAGAGAGGCUCGUGGAAUUGCAGGUGUAGCGGUGAAAUGCGUAGAUAUCUGCAGGAACACCCGUGGCGAAAGCGGCGAGCUGGAUCACUACUGACGCUGAGGAACGAAAGCCAGGGUAGCGAACGGG